CAUCUCUGUGCACGACAGUCUACGGUGGAGACGUAGUUUAAGCGCUGGUAACUGUAGGAAGUUUGAACAUCCUAUGAAGUGUGGCGAGUCUUCCAGUUUACUAUACAUUUCGGUAACAACACUAUCUGACUGAUUUAUGCAGAUUUAUUACAGAAAUGACAUUUAAACAAAUAAAUAAAUGGUCCAUGCAUAAAAUUAGAGUCGUAAGUGAUUUUUUUUUGGAACAGCAUAAGUAGCCUGUCUCCGGCAUGUAUUGUUCUCAAGUGAAACCUGUACCACCUGCCAGCAAGGCAAUAUUGCAAGCAAACCAGCAAGAAAACAAACACAGUUUGAAGCAGGCCUUAGCAUAAUAUGUUAUACCAAUCCAGAUCUAUAGCCUUUCACUACUGAUCAAUUUCUUGUACUAUAUUUAUUUAGGUUGUGACUGUAAUGCUAGGAAUUUUUGGGUGUAUGCUAUUGUUUGAAAUUCAUAUAUCUGUGAAAAAUAAACUUUGUUUUAUUUACAUA